rnacentral:tRNA from 1 species
UGCGGGUAAGUGAUAAGUUAUAUUCGAAAGCGAUUUGAAGUCGUUUUUUUCUUCUGGGUUGGAGAUGCCUGCU